AUUGAACGCUGGCGGAAUGCUUUACACAUGCAAGUCGAACGGUAGAGGGGGCAACCCCUCGAGAGUGGCGAACGGGUGAGUAAUAUAUCGGAACGUGCCCAGUCGUGGGGGAUAACGUAGCGAAAGUUACGCUAAUACCGCAUACGAUCUAAGGAUGAAAGCGGGGGAUCGCAAGACCUCGCGCGAUUGGAGCGGCCGAUAUCAGAUUAGGUAGUUGGUGGGGUAAAGGCUCACCAAGCCAACGAUCUGUAGCUGGUCUGAGAGGACGACCAGCCACACUGGAACUGAGACACGGUCCAGACUCCUACGGGAGGCAGCAGUGGGGAAUUUUGGACAAUGGACGCAAGUCUGAUCCAGCCAUUCCGCGUGCAGGAUGAAGGCCCUCGGGUUGUAAACUGCUUUUGUGCGGAACGAAAAGGUUUCCAUUAAUACUGGGAGCUCAUGACGGUACCGUAAGAAUAAGCACCGGCUAACUACGUGCCAGCCGCCGCGGUAA
rnacentral:rRNA from 1 species